rnacentral:tRNA from 1 species
GCCCUCGUAGCUCAGGGGAUAGAGCACCGGCCUCCGGAGCCGGGUGCGGAGGUUCGAAUCCUCCCGGGGGCACCA